rnacentral:rRNA from 1 species
GUCGAACGGCAGCAUGAUCUAGCUUGCUAGAUUGAUGGCGAGUGGCGAACGGGUGAGUAAUACAUCGGAACGUGCCCUGUAGUGGGGGAUAACUAGUCGAAAGAUUAGCUAAUACCGCAUACGACCUGAGGGUGAAAGUGGGGGACCGCAAGGCCUCAUGCUAUAGGAGCGGCCGAAGUCUGAUUAGCUAGUUGGUGGGGUAAAGGCCCACCAAGGCGACGAUCAGUAGCUGGUCUGAGAGGACGAUCAGCCACACUGGGACUGAGACACGGCCCAGACUCCUACGGGAGGCAGCAGUGGGGAAUUUUGGACAAUGGGCGAAAGCCUGAUCCAGCAAUGCCGCGUGUGUGAAGAAGGCCUUCGGGUUGUAAAGCACUUUUGUCCGGAAAGAAAUGGCUCUGGUUAAUACCUGGGGUCGAUGACGGUACCGGAAGAAUAAGGACCGGCUAACUACGUGCCAGCAGCCGCGGUAAUACGUAGGGUCCAAGCGUUAAUCGGAAUUACUGGGCGUAAAGCGUGCGCAGGCGGUUGUGCAAGACCGAUGUGAAAUCCCCGAGCUUAACUUGGGAAUUGCAUUGGUGACUGCACGGCUAGAGUGUGUCAGAGGGGGGUAGAAUUCCACGUGUAGCAGUGAAAUGCGUAGAGAUGUGGAGGAAUACCGAUGGCGAAGGCAGCCCCCUGGGAUAACACUGACGCUCAUGCACGAAAGCGUGGGGAGCAAACAGGAUUAGAUACCCUGGUAGUCCACGCCCUAAACGAUGUCAACUAGUUGUUGGGGAU